UACAGAGGGUGCAAGCGUUAAUCGGAAUUACUGGGCGUAAAGCGCACGUAGGCGGUUUGUUAAGUCAGAUGUGAAAGCCCCGGGCUCAACCUGGGAAUUGCAUUUGAAACUGGGAAACUAGAGUGUGUGAGAGGGGGGUAGAAUUCCAAGUGUAGCGGUGAAAUGCGUAGAGAUUUGGAGGAAUACCAGUGGCGAAGGCGGCCCCCUGGCACAACACUGACGCUCAGGUGCGAAAGCGUGGGGAGCAAACAGG
rnacentral:rRNA from 1 species